AGUGGCGAACGGGUGAGGAACACGUGAGGAACCUGCCUUUUGGUUCGGAACAACACAGGGAAACUUGUGCUAAUACCGGAUAAGUCUUUACGGAGAAAGCUUUAUGCACCAUUGGAUGAGCCCGCACUUGAUUAGUUUGUUGGUAGGGUAAUGGCCUACCAAGACUAUGAUCAAUAGCUGAUUUGAGAGGAUGAUCAGCCACACUGGGACUGAGAUACGGCCCAGACUCC
rnacentral:rRNA from 1 species